rnacentral:rRNA from 1 species
UACAGAGGUCUCAAGCGUUGCUCGGAAUCACUGGGCGUAAAGCGCACGUAGGCGGCUUGUUAAGUCAGGGGUGAAAUCCUGGAGCUCAACUCCAGAACUGCCUUUGAUACUAGCGAGCUUGAGUUCGGGAGAGGUGAGUGGAACUGCGAGUGUAGAGGUGAAAUUCGUAGAUAUUCGCAAGAACACCAGUGGCGAAGGCGGCUCACUGGCCCGAUACUGACGCUGAGGUGCGAAAGCGUGGGGAGCAAACAGG